rnacentral:rRNA from 1 species
CCUACGGGAGGCAGCAGUGAGGAAUAUUGGUCAAUGGACGAGAGUCUGAACCAGCCAAGUAGCGUGAAGGAUGACUGCCCUAUGGGUUGUAAACUUCUUUUAUAAAGGAAUAAAACGAGGCACGUGUGCCUUUUUGCAUGUACUUUAUGAAUAAGGAUCGGCUAACUCCGUGCCAGCAGCCGCGGUAAUACGGAGGAUCCGAGCGUUAUCUGGAUAUAUUGGGUUUAAAGGGAGCGUAGAUGGGUUGUUAAGUCAGUUGUGAAAUUUUGCGGCUCAACCGUAAAAUUGCAAUUGAUACUGGCAGUCUUGAGUACAGUUGAGGUAGGCGGAAUUCGUGGUGUAGCGGUGAAAUGCUUAGAUAUCACGAAGAACCCCGAUUGCGAAGGCAGCUUACUAAACUGUGACUGACAUUGAUGCUCGAAAGUGUGGGUAUCAAACAGGAUUAGAUACCCCUGUAGUC